CCUAUACAGAAAACGAAAACUAUAGGUGGUUUGAAUAUUGUACAUCGAUCGAUGCAUGAUGUAAGUUGACUAUAUAAAACUUGAACAUGAUCAUUUCAAACUAAAGUAUAGGUAGGUUUUAUGCAUUUGUUAUAUUGUAGUUAAUAUAUUUUAAAUAUUACAUAAGUCAAGUGAUUCACGUUUUCGUAAAAAUAAAAUUCAAGUUCAUUAUUGGGCCGUACUCGUACGUAAUAAGCUACAUUAAUUAUGAUGUAUUUUUAGGUUCAUUUAAUGACAUUAAAUUUAAAUUUUAUUAAGGAAAACUCAUUAAUUUAACUGGAAAAGACAAUCAUUAAAAUAGGUAGGUUUAUUUAAUGACUUUAAGUUUAAAUUUGAUUAAGGAAAACUCAUUAAUUUAACUGGAAAAGACAAGCAUUAAAAUAAGUAGUUUAAUUUAAUUUUCAGUGGUAUAGAAGUGUAAAUAAGUUAGAAAACUUAAGGGUAUUUUUUAUUGGGUACUUUUAUUUUAAUAAUAUAGAUUUAAGCAUGAAUGACCAUGUAUGUAUUAUAUGAGAUUUAUCGGCCGCCUCGACAUCGGUGUUGUUUAGAGCAACCACGACUGUAUUCGUUGCCACGGGCAGAGCCAUCAUGAGUAAGACAUUUGUCUGGAGGAUUUUUACGAAGGCAUUAAGGUAAAGAGAUUUGUUUUCGGCUGACCCUCUGAUUGCUUCACAAUCACAGCGGAACAAACAUAGCCGUGCCAACCUUUAUGGCUGCCAUAAGCAAUUAGAAAAAAAUUUAUAAAAAUUCUGCAUUAAAAUUUAUAAUACCUAUAAGGCUAUAACCAUAGAGUAGAAAGAUAUAAAUUAAACUAACAAAGAAAAUAUUAAUUAAAAAUAUUAUUUUAUUUUUAAAAAUCAACUUUUUCAAUUGGAUUCAUAGAUAAAAUAAUUAAAUCAGUCAAUGUUUCUUAUGUAAUACAAACAAAUGGUACAGUUUUAUCUGUUUUAUCAUUAAAACAUUUCAAAACCGCUCUAACUAUGUAAUUUUCUAAUAAUCAGCACCUUUUUUUUCAUUUUGUUAUUUUAGUAACUCAAAAUUUUAUCAUACUUCCAAUUUUUCUUUAUGCUAAUUUCCUCUUUCAUCGCAUAAACUUAUGUUUGUUUUAAUAAUUUUAUACCAUUGGUCUAUACCUAAGAUGAGUCUAAGAUGGUGCGCUUAAUUUUUUUUAUAAAAAUCUGCUGUCCUAAGCGCAUGUUUCAUUUGCUCUCACCAAGGCACGGCUCUGGGAACAAAACACCAACAUGCCUUCAUUUUCUAUUCUUAGGGGGAGUAUGAUGGAUCCUUCUUUUUUUUCGUGUAUUAGAUAAAAAAUGGGUUUAUAUAUAGGAAGAAAAUCAGGACGUACAUUAAUGUUAGCUCGUUGUUUAGAGUGUAUACUAAUCUAAGACAAGAUGCUAAAAUAGGAUUCUUUAGGAGACUUUUCCAAGGUUAUGUUGGGUUUUGAUUUCGUUUUUUAUAUAAAAAGGUAUUUACGGUAGGAAAAUUGCCACUAAUACCACUUUUCAACCUUACACUAACCAAUUUUACCAUUAAAAUUUUAAAGGGUAAUGUACCAUUAUACCUUUAUCUAAUCAAACAUAAACAUAUGUCUUCUCCAACAAGAAUUUUCAAAAUCCUCAAAUUGAUCGACGACUCCAGCGAGAGAUUCGACGAUUCCGGCGAGAUUCGACGACUCCGGCGAUUUCCCCGGCGAGAUUUGACGAUUCCGACGACGUUGACGUCUGACGAGAUUUGGCGAAGACUACAAGCUCAAACGAACAAACAAUCUCUCUUCACGAACGCAUAACAAAGGUUAUGAUGAUCGAAUUGUGUUCUAUAUGUGGAGAAUGAAAACUAAUAAAUGGAAUUCACUGGGAUUUCAUAGUCGAUGAUGAAAGGGGAUCUUCUCUUAGUAUGAUUCAUGAAGAUAAGCUACAAUGAUUUGAUUGGGGUUGUUUUAGAAGAUUUUGGAAUUGAUGUCUCACCUUCCAAGUUAAACAGUAUAAAUCUUAGCUAUGUCUCACCAUCAAAGUUAAACUCUGGUUCAAAAGAGCUUCAUCCAGUAUUUAUUAGGAAUGAUCGUCAAGAAGCAUCAUAUAUGAACAAACUUCAAGAGAAUGAAGACUUUCAUCUAUGUGUAACCAUUAAGAGAAGAACUCAAUUAUCAUCAAGGAUUGUGUCAAAUAUGAUUCAGACACGGGAUGAAGUUUUAAUUACUCAUGAUUUGCCUAUUGCUGGAAAUAGUAACCCCCUUGAGGGAUGAACACAAAGACACCCUGAUACUGAAUUGAACGACAUUCAGAGAGUUGAAGAAGUAUUUGGUAUUCAACAUACUCGUAUAAGUGAUGGUCUUGUUAGCAAUAAGAUGUGAUUGCACUCAGUGGGACCUGUUGUAUAUGGAUCUGAAAAGUCAAACAUGAAUCAGACACGAGAUAAAAUUUCCAGUACUUAUGUUUCACACAUUGCUGGAAAUUUUGAGGUACUCUUUAAAACUCUUACCUUAGCGUUUAUAAUUAUAAGGUCUUAUAUAUUGUUUUACAUAUUAGACUUAAUGAAGUACUACACAAAUAGGUUACUUUUGGUAGUAUUUGCACUUAUUGAGCUACAGUUGGUUGUGAUAUACUCAUUAAAACCUCUUCAAUAAUGACUUGAUUUUAUAAUGCUUUAUAAAGGCAAAUAUAUCAAUGUUACUAGGACUCUCUCGAGAGGAUGUGAUUUCGGUUGCAUCAUUGUUCAUCAUAUCAUCCUCAAUGGAUUCUAAAACAAGCAUUUGGAUUAGCUUAUCGAGUUUGCAACUAUCUUCAUCUUGAAAUUUCUCCUUAGCUUUCUCAUACGCUUCAUCUUUUCUUUUCUCUUCAUUCUUUUUAUGCUCUUGUUCCUAAACAUUAUUAUGAUGGCUAUAUAAACAUAUUCAUCAUUCGAUUUUGAUAACACAAUUAGAAAAUAACAUUUAUAAACCAUUAGAAAGAGAGUUAUUUAUCUUAUUUCCUCUUCCUCGUUUCUGCCUUUCAACUUGCACGGGCUCCUCAACUUCUGUAUCAGCUUCCAUUUGUUCUUCUUCUUCCUCACGUGUCUGCCUUUAUUUUCAAGAAAAAAAACAAUAACAAAUUUACGAUGGCUUAUAAUUUUUUAAAAAAUGAUAGUCCAAGUUUAUAAGGGUUUAUAUAUUAGCUUACUUCAUUGAUUUUUGAAGUUUCUCUUUCUUUAUCACCGUCGCCGAAUUCAGCAUCAACUUCCACUUGCUGUUCUUCUUCAUCUUGUGUUUUCUCCUAUUUCAAAAAAAAUGAGAGAUAUAUAAAUGCUUAUAAUAUUAAAAUAACCUAGCAAUUUCAAAUUUGAUAAAGUCUUAUAAAACAUCAAAAACACAAUGACCUUAGAGUUUUGCUGUACAUCUUUGUCUCAUGUCCUGCUUUGUCGACCAAUGUCUUCUGUUGUAAGGAAAACAUCCACAAAUCCUUGUUCCCAAUCGCUUUUCUUCACUUUGUAUCCUUGUUGAACUAGUUGUACAACACUGUCAAAGUUCUUAUCAUCAGGAUGUGUUGGGUUCACCAAAUGUUUUAAUUCCUCAGAGAAUCCAAACUGUGUAGUAACCACACUCUGUAACAAGGAUAAAACAACGUUUUAUAAGUCUAUGUAAAUCUCUUAUUUAUAAACCAUUAUGAAACAAUAUAGUUAACAUAGUAAUUUCAUGUGAAUGGCAUGAGCUAAUGAGGGCAUGACACAGGCAAGGUGUUAAGAGAAGUGAAACAUGCGAGUUCACACACAAAACACAAGCCAAAAAGAAACAGAGCGACCAUUCUCAAUAAUCUAAUGUGAAUGUUAAGGGCUAGUGUAUGAAUGAUGCAAGCAACGUGUUACAGAAAAAGUACAAAAUGAAAAAUAUUCUAAAAUGUCUAAACACUUCACAUUUUUUACCAAGGCGCCUGCUUGUGACCCCUUUUCAAGGAGUAUGUUUAUAAACCUCUUUCUAAACAAUACAGUACGAAUAAAUUUAUAAACUUUAGUAAAAACUCACAUUAUUUUUCUUCUCCACCUCCAACACUUCAGUAAUUCUCGGUGCCCUUGUUAAGUCCCAAUGUAAACAUAACGGAUCUGCAGAAGAGGUUUCCUAGCAUGGUUUUCCCAAAGUUUUACCAAGCAUAGGCACUGAUGACAUAGCCCACAAAUUUAUGGCCAGCACAAAAUUUCUCACUUCAUAACUCUCUCAUGUCCACGAACUUGCACUCAAACGUUGAACACUUUUGGACAAAACUUUAUAAGCAACUUUACCCCAAGCCAACUUCGACAAGCUAUCAUAGUUCUUAUAAGCCAGCAGCCUUCCCUUUGGGAUUAGAAAGCUUGAGUUUUCUGCAAUAAUUACCUUUUCUGUGAUUAUUGCUAUUCCUAUAGAUAGUCUCUCUAGUCUUGUCAUUGUUCUUGCUUUCUUUUUGAGCAGAUCACACAAGCUUCUCACUGUGUACUUGUCCGCUUAGCAUCCAAAGAUAAGGUUUCUUCACUUGUCUGAACAGUGGCUCUGUUUCUGUUUUAUCUUGCUCACAAGCUAACCCUGUUGUCAGAUGAAAUUCUCUCAUUGAAAACCUCAUUGGUUGAUCAGAGAAUGUAAACCAAAGACCUGUUCCUUUCGUCAUUAUUCUUCGCUGCAUGAGAAAAUGAAACAGAUCCUCUGAAAAUUGAACGCUAGUCCUUCUUGCCAGCUUCACAAUGCUUCCAAUGUGUGAGUUCUCUAUCUGUGCAAACUCUUCUUUUCCCAAUAUAUCAGCAACCUUAGAAACAUAAUCCAUGUUUGAAUGUUGGAUGAUCACUUUGUGAUUGUCUGGUGGUUCUGUUCCAGCUCCAUAAAUCCUAGGAGGCAAACUCAAAUUUGGCAAAACUCAUUGCUAUCCAACUGGAAAACAAAAAACAAAAGAAAAAUUAUCAUGUAUAUUACUUUAUAAAACGAUGAUAUGAACUUCUAAUCAUGAACUAUAGAUACUUUAUCCAAGGCAAGCACAAUGUUCAUGUAUUUCCACAAUAUCACAAGUUUUAUACACAUAUACGAUGAAACUGUUGUUUAGAAACUUCUUUAUAGGACCUUAUAAAUAGUUGAGUUGUAUUUAUCAAUAAGAUCAUGAAAUCCAGAUUAAUAAAGGGUUAUAAUAUGACUUCAAAACCAGAUUUAAGUUUUCAAAUACUCAAUGUUUUCACUCUCAACGUUUCACUAUCAAAUCUGUUUCUCUUAGAUCGACCUCUUUAAAUGGGAUAUCUAAGAGAACCUUGUUUGAUUUUUCGAUAAGAGAAAGCACAAAAUCGAAUCAAACAAAAAAAUACAGAAAUUAGAGAACAACAAAAAUACAGAAAUUAGAGACAUACAAGUUGUGAAUCAUGUAUAGGAGUCGACAUCUUGGAGAUUUUGAAUCGAUUUCGUCGCCGAAAGUCGACGGUGAGAGAGAGAUCGACGGUGAGAGAUAGACGCCGGAACUAGACGGUGAGAGAGAUGCCAGAACUCAAGGGAGAGAGAGAGACGACGGUGACUCGACGGUGAGAGAGAGAGACGACGGUGACUCGGGGAGAGGGAGAGAAACCGAUGGUGGAGAAGAAGAUAAGGUAAGGGUAUUAUUGUCUUUUGCUCAUUAAUGAAAGUGAUAUUUCUGAAAAGUUCCUUAGACUGAUGGUAAAGUUGAAAAGUGGUAUCCAACAAAGUGUAAAAGUAAAAUUUUCCC